rnacentral:rRNA from 1 species
UCUUCCGCAAUGGACGAAAGUCCGACGGAGCAACGCCGCGUGAGUGAUGAAGGUUUUCGGAUCGUAAAGCUCUGUUGCUAGGGAAGAACGCUUGGGAGAGUAACUGCUCUCCCGGUGACGGUAUCUGAGAAGAAAGCCACGGCUAACUACGUGCCAACAGCCGCGGUAAGACGUAGGGGGCAAGCGUUGGCCGGAAUUAUUGGGCGUAAAGCGCGCGCAAGCGGGUCAUUAAGUCUGGUGUUUAAGGCUAGGGCUCAACCCUGGUUCGCACUGGAAACUGUUGAACUUGAGUGCAGAAGAGGAAAGUGGAAUUCCACGUGUAGCGGUGAAAUGCGUAGAGAUGUGGAGGAACACCAGUGGCGAAGGCGACUUUCUGGGCUGUAACUGACGCUGAGGCGCGAAAGCGUGGGGAGCAGACA